ACGAGCUUUGGUGAUUCUAGCCAAGAAAGCAGAUCGCAUAGCCUUGUGCUGGCGACAGUUCGAUCGGGUUUCUGCCCUAUCAACUUGAUUGUAGUGUAUUGGACUACAAUGGUGAUAACGGGUGACGGGGAAUUAGGGUUCGAUUCCGGAGAGGGAGCCUGAGAAAUGGCUACCACUUCCAAGGAAGGCAGCAGGCGCGCAAAUUACCCAAUGUCAAUUCGACGAGGUAGUGACAAUAAAUAACGAUCCCGAGCCUUCUAGGCCUGGGAAUCGGAAUGAGUACAACGUAAAUAACUUAACGAGGAACCAUUGGAGGACAAGUCUGGUGCCAGCACCCGCGGUAAUUCCAGCUCCAAUAGCGUAUAUUAAAGUUGUUGCAGUUAAAAAGCUCGUAGUUGGAUUUGAAACGUCGUAACUGGCUGAGAGGAUGGUUGGACCUUUACAGCUCUAGGUUGCACGUUCUACGUCCGGUGGUGGUUAGCUGGUCUUAACUGACUGGCUGAUCGCUUCGGACUGUUUACCUUGAAUAAAUUAGGGUGUUCAAAGCAGGCUUAAGUAAGCCUUGAAUAGUUUAGCAUGGGAUAAUGGAAUACGACCCUCGCCUAGUUCGUUGGUAACCUGGGCGAGGGUAAUGAUAAAUAGGGAUUGUCGGGGUCAUUCAUAUUCAAUUGUUAGAGGUGAAAUUCUUAGAUUCUUUGAAGAUGAACUGAAGCGAAAGCGUUUGACAAGGAUGCUCCCAUUGAUCAAGAACGAAAGUUAGGGGAUCGAAGACGAUCAGAUACCGUCGUAGUCUUAACUAUAAACGAUACGAAUCGAGGAUUGGGAGACGUUAAUCGUACGACUCAUUCAGAACUCUAAGGGAAACCUUUGAAUUUUUACGUUCUGGGGGGAGUAUGGUCGCAAGGCUGAAACUUAAAGGAAUUGAC
rnacentral:rRNA from 1 species